rnacentral:rRNA from 1 species
UACGAAGGGGGCUAGCGUUGCUCGGAAUCACUGGGCGUAAAGCGCACGUAGGCGGAUCUUUAAGUCAGGGGUGAAAUCCCAGAGCUCAACUCUGGAACUGCCUUUGAUACUGUCGGUCUAGAGUAUGGAAGAGGUGAGUGGAAUUCCGAGUGUAGAGGUGAAAUUCGUAGAUAUUCGGAGGAACACCAGUGGCGAAGGCGGCUCACUGGUCCAUUACUGACGCUGAGGUGCGAAAGCGUGGGGAG